CAGUAGCCACGGUAAUACGGAGGAUCCAAGCGUUAUCCGGAAUCAUUGGGUUUAAAGGGUCCGUAGGCGGUCUUGUAAGUCAGUGGUGAAAGCCCAUCGCUCAACGGUGGAACGGCCAUUGAUACUGCAGGACUUGAAUUAUUGGGAAGUAACUAGAAUAUGUAGUGUAGCGGUGAAAUGCUUAGAGAUUACAUGGAAUACCAAUUGCGAAGGCAGGUUACUACCAAUUGAUUGACGCUGAUGGACGAAAGCGUGGGUAGCGAACAGGAUUAGAUACCCCUGUAGUCCCUGUCUCUUAUAC
rnacentral:rRNA from 1 species